GUGCUCAUUUUGGCAGCGCAUAUGCUAAAACUAGAGCAUACAGAGAAGAUUAGCGUGAUCCCUGAGCAGGGGUGACAGGCAUGUUCAUAAGGUGCUUUAUAUGUUU